UCCUCCCGUCCUCCCUCGCCCCGCAUGCUCCCGGCUUGCCGCCUGCAGGAUGAGUUCCACCCGUUCAUCGAGGCGCUGCUGCCUCACGUCCGAGCCUUCUCCUACACCUGGUUCAACCUGCAGGCGCGGAAGCGCAAGUACUUCAAGAAGCACGAGAAGCGGAUGUCAAAGGACGAGGAGCGCGCAGUGAAGGACGAGCUGCUGGGCGAGAAGCCUGAGAUCAAGCAGAAGUGGGCAUCCCGGCUGUUGGCCAAGCUGCGCAAAGACAUCCGGCCCGAGUUCCGCGAGGACUUUGUGCUAACCAUCACGGGCAAGAAGCCCCCCUGCUGCGUGCUCUCCAACCCCGACCAGAAGGGCAAGAUCCGGCGGAUUGACUGCCUGCGCCAGGCUGACAAGGUGUGGCGGCUGGACCUGGUCAUGGUGAUUUUGUUUAAAGGG
rnacentral:lncRNA from 1 species